rnacentral:rRNA from 1 species
CCUACGGGAGGCAGCAGUAGGGAAUCUUCCACAAUGGGCGAAAGCCUGAUGGAGCAACGCCGCGUGGGUGAAGAAGGUCUUCGGAUCGUAAAACCCUGUUGUUAGAGAAGAAAGUGCGUGAGAGUAACUGUUCACGUUUCGACGGUAUCUAACCAGAAAGCCACGGCUAACUACGUGCCAGCAGCCGCGGUAAUACGUAGGUGGCAAGCGUUAUCCGGAUUGAUUGGGCGUAAAGGGAACGCAGGCGGUCUUUUAAGUCUGAUGUGAAAGCCUUCGGCUUAACCGGAGUAGUGCAUUGGAAACUGGGAGACUUGAGGGCAGAAGAGGAGAGUGGAACGCCAUGUGUAGCGGUGAAAUGCGUAGAUAUAUGGAAGAACACCAGUGGCGAAAGCGGCUCUCUGGUCUGUAACUGACGCUGAGGUUCGAAAGCGUGGGUAGCGAACAGGAUUAGAUACCCUUGUAGUC